rnacentral:sRNA from 1 species
GCCGGGUAUGGUGGCACAAACCUGUAAUCCCAGCAGCUCAGGAGGCUGAGACAGGAGGAUCAGGAGUUCAAAGCCAGCCUCAGCAACGGCGAGGUGCUAAGCAACUCAGGGAGACCCUGCCUCUA